rnacentral:pre_miRNA from 1 species
UAAAUAGUCUCUCCGUUCCGAGUUACUUGUCGCAGGUAUGAAUGUAUCUAGAUGUAUUUUAGUUUUAGAUACAUCCAUUUCUGCGACGAGUAAUUUAGAACGGAGGGAGUACAAG